rnacentral:rRNA from 1 species
GGUCGGCAACGACCACCCAGGGCCGGAAAGUUGGUCAAACUCGGUCAUUUAGAGGAAGUAAAAGUCGUAACAAGGUCUCCGUAGGUGAACCUGCGGAGGGAUCAUUA